GAUGAACGCUGGCGGCAGGCCUAAUACAUGCAAGUCGAGCGGAGCGGCGGACGGGUGAGUAAUGCCUACGUAUCUGCCUGGUCGAGGGGGAUAGCGUCAGGAAACGGGCGCUAAUACCGCAUCCUUCCAGAUGAGCCUAGGUCGGGUUAGCUAGGUGGUGGGGUAAAGGCUUACCAAGGCGACGAUCCGUAACUGGUCUGAGAGGAUGAUCAGUCACACGGGAACUGAGACACGGUCCAGACUCCUACGGGAGGCAGCAGUGGGGAAUAUUGCGCAAUGGGCGAAAGCCUGACCCAGCCAUGCCGCGUGUGUGAAGAAGGUCUUCGGAUUGUAAAGCACUUUAAGUUGGGAAGCGUUACCAACACAAUAAGCACCGGCUAACUUCGUGCCAGCAGCCGCGGUAAUUC
rnacentral:rRNA from 1 species